rnacentral:lncRNA from 10 species
UUGGAUUAUGUUCAGCUCUAUGAUCUGUCUCAGUUUUUUCCAGUGAUACAAUAAUAGAUGUGUCCUGAUUUAGAUAGAGAAAGUAGGUAGGCAGAGAUUCUGGCCAUGGCAUCAGAGAUUCAUAAUGCCAACCACAGACUUACUCUUGACUCCACAAAAACCAUUUCACAAAUUCCUAUUGUUGCCCAAAAGAGGUGAAAAUAAAAGUAUAUGACUGGCUGAGUGUAACAAAACUACAUGACAGGAAUUACGACUCACAUACAGCCUGGAGUCACCUUUCUGUUACACCCUGUUCAUCAGUGAUGGAAAGGCAGCUUCCUAUGUGCUGAAAGUUCAUCUCUCUUAUUGCAGGUAUGAUUUCCACUGGUAUUAAUGAGCUUGAAAUAUGAAGGCCACUUAAAUUUCCCAGAGGUGUCAAGUGAUGUGGGGAUUUCAGAGCAUGUAUCAACUCACUUCAGCAAUAUUAGCAUUUUUGUUUGAAAUACCCAGUUAGACAGGA